rnacentral:misc_RNA from 1 species
GGUGGGUGCUGUGUGGCUCAUGGAAGUAUGGUGCAUGUUUAUGAUUGGAUGAUGGAAGAACACCCGCCUAUUAAUCUUGAUUACCAGAGAGUGAACGAUGUGGCUUUUUUUGGUUUUUUCUCAGUGCCUGUGAGAGAUUAGGCCGCGGAGAUGGAGGAAUGGGGCUGUUCAGUAAGAGUACAGGGGAGCUCAGGUAUAAGUUUCAGGUCUGCCAUGAGAAUCAAUUGAAGAGCUAUACAGCUGG